UGGGCCUAGCGAUCUGGCAUAUAAAUAGAGGCCAAAGCCCAAAUAAAUCAUAUCAAUCCAUUCAUAAAAGACAAAGUCUUCAGUUUUACCCAUUUUUUAAUUUUUAAUUAUUUAUUUUUUUGCAAACAGAGGGCCUAAGCUUUUUUGGAGCAUUUCACUUUCAUUGCAGCCAUUUAACCAAACUAAGUAGAAGCUCAAGCGUUACACGGAACAAUGAAGGAUUCACCAAUCCUUCCUGAGAUAGAUUUUUUUUUUUUUGGGGGGAUACGUAGUAGGUAAUAUAACCAACAAUGAUUGUAUAAUAGGUUUAGUUAAAUUUAAUACAACUACAUUUUAGAUAAUAGUUCAAAAUAAAUGUUAAAAUAAUAAAAAUGGAGUGUGCCUCACCUUCAUUUUGUUGUGCGCGGAAUGCGGAAUCAAACGCACCAAAAAAUUACUGAAAAAUAAAGGACACAAGAAUUUACGUGGUUCGGUAAUUAAACCUACAUCCACGGAGGCAAGAAAGAAUAAUUGUUUAUUUAACAAUUAAUAGAAUACAAUAUUUGAGUAACGAAUCUCACUUUCCAGAAACCCAUAUAUACACAGUACUCUCACACUCUGCAGGAAAGAUAAAUUUCCCAGACACACUUCUCUCACUUCUCUCAAAAGCUUAGAAACUUAUAAGCUUAACAAUUUUGGGAUGAUUUCAAAUGAAUGAAAUCCUAAGCUAUUUAUAGGAAAAAUGUUGGCACUAUGCAAAGAAUAAAAUAAUUAAAAAUAUAAUAAAUUAUUAUUAUUAUUUUCAAUACAUCCCCUUUUUCCAUUCUUUCUUUUCGGCUAACAAAAACCAAAUUGGAUUGGAUGUACGGUACAGCAGCAAAUCUCCACCUCGGCGAAAAUUUAUCCAAAUCUGAGCCGAUUGACAAUGAUCCGCCAAACUUCAUCCCUCACAUGAUCCUCAAAAGGAUCCACAUUGGCUGCAUCUAUCCGACUGCCUACGUACCCAAAAUUUGAGAUCAAGCCAACCGUAGUUCAUAAUUCCCGAAAGACAUAUCUUAACACAAUCGAAGGAUUUGAAUUAAUUUCAAGCAAUGUUGAAACUUAACUCUAGAAACUACUUUCGUCAACAUAUCUGAUGGAUUAUCUUUGGUAUCGAUCUUUCUCAACAACACAACACCGCUCUCGAUAAUCUCUCUCACAUAAUGAUAUUUCACAUCUAUGUGCUUCGUCCGAGCGUGAUAUGUUUGAUUCUUCGCAAGGAAUAUCGCACUUUGAUUAUCACAGAAGACUGCAAUGUUCUCCUGGAUUACUCCCAAAUCACCUAACAAGCCUUUCAACCAGAUAGCUUCUUUUACAGCUUCAGUUGCUGCCAUAUACUCUGCUUCCGUAGUGGACAGAGCAAUUGUCGAUUGUAGAAUCGACCUCCAGCUAACCGGACCUCCACCCAAUGUGAAUACGUAGCCCGUUGUUGAUCUUCGCUUGUCAAGGUCUCCACGUACAGCAGUUAAAUGUACCAUGCUCAUUGCUUGAGAUAUAUCGGGCCUUGUGCAUACCAUAGCAUACAUAAGACUACCCACAACACUAGCAUAUGGAACACGAGCCAUGUAAUCGCGCUCCUCUUGAGAUCUAGGACAUGAAGAAGAGCUUAAUUUGAAAUGAGGAGCUAGAGGUGUACAUACCGGUUUAGUUUUGUCAUCCAUAUUGAACAUACGGCCAAGGCGGAUGUACGGUACAGCAGUAAAUUUAUAGUUUGAAUUACAUAAUCUAAUUUUUUAUUUAUUAUUAAAAAUAUUUUUUUAAUAUUUGUCUGCUGUACGGCCAAGGCGGAUGUACGGUACAGCAGCAAAUCUUUUGUACCACUGCCUUGGCGAUUGCUUCAAUCCGUACAAAGAUUUAAUCAACAUACACACAUGAUUCUCCUUUUCAGCAACUCUAAAACCACAAGGCUGAAUCAUAUAGAUUUUCUCCUCCAAAUCUCCAUGUAAAAACGCCGUCUUAAUAUCCAACUGAGCCAACUCUAACUCAUAUUCUGCAACUAAGGCAAGUAGGAUACGGAUGGAAGUAUGUUUUACAACUGGAGAGAAAACUUCAUUGUAGUCAAUACCUUCCUUUUGAGCAAAAUCUUUUGCCACAAGCCUUGCCUUGUAUCGAGGAGUUGUUUGAUUUGGAAAUCCUUACUUUUUGGUGUAGACCCAUUUAUUACCAAUAGCCCUUUUCCCCUUUGGUAACUUUACAAGUUCCCAAGUCUUAUUUUGAUGGAGAGAUUUCAUCUCUUCCUCCAUGGCUAACUUCCACUGAUCACUUUCACCGUUGCGUAAUGCUUCACCGAAAGUGUUGGGGAUGUCAUCAUCAAUAACUGGAAGUGCAUAGGCGACCACCAUAUCUUUAGUAAGCCAUCCGAGUUUCUUUAUCUCUCUUCUUGGCCUCCUUGUUACUAUAAAAUCAUCAUUAUCUAAAUCAUCAAUUGUUUCUUCAUUUUGUGGGACAUCAGAAGAAACAACCUCUUCUUCAACUCUAGGUGUCACUUCCAUAGUUGAACCAUUUAUUGAUGUAGAACUAACUGGUACAUAUGGAGUUGCAUCAAACUCCACUCGCUGCAAUACCUCUGUGGUCUUGUUCUCUACCUGCUGAGAACUUGAAGCUUUUAUCAUUGAAGCUUCAUCAAAUGUGACAUCUCUACUACACACAAACUUUUUGUCUUAGAAAUCCCAAAGCUUGAAGCCCUUUACUCCACCUUUGAAUCCCAUAAAGAUAGCUUUUCUAUCACGAGGAUCCAAUUUACCAUCUUUAACAUGAUAAUAAGCUGGACACCUGAAUAUACGAAGGGAAUCAUAGUCUUGUGCAUGCUUUCCAGACCACACUUCCAUAGGAGUUUUACCUCUAAUUGCAGCAGAAGGCAACCGGUUUACCAAGUGACUUGCGUAGCUCACAACUUCAGCCCAAAAUUUUAUCUAAACCAGCAUUAGAUAACAUACACCGUACCUUCUCCAGUAAAGUACGAUUCAUACGCUCAGCCACACCGUUCUGUUGCGGAGUAUGUCUCACCGUGAAAUGUCUUUUAAUACCCUCGUUCUGGCAUACUUGCAAGAAUGGAUCAGAAGUAUAUUCACCCCCAUUAUCAUAUCGUAAUACUUUGAUCUUUCUGCUAGUUUGAGUCUCCACCAAUUUUUUCCAAUUCACGAAAAUCUCUAGAACCUCAUCCUUUGCUCGCAUGGUGUACACCCAUACACGUCUAGAGAAAUCAUCAACAAAUAUAACAAAAUAAUGGCUUCCACCAAUUGAUGCAGUCUUGGUUGGUCCCCAUACAUCACUAUGAACAUAUUCAAGGAUCUCACGAGUAUCGUGAUUAGCUGUACCAAACUUGACCCUUGUUUUCUUGCCUACUACACAAUGCUCACAGAAAUUUAAUUUACAGGUUUUGGUACCUUUUAAGAGUCCAUGCCUCAUCAGAGUUUGCAAAGACUUCUCUCUUGCAUGUCCCAGUCGUACAUGCCAUAGCAUGGUGGUGUCACUGUGCGCCUCAACAACAUUUGCUUCAUCAGUUGUACCUCCCUUCAAAUAGUACAGAUUGUGACGCCGAACCCCUUGCAGAAUCACCAUAGCCCCAUGUGUAAACUUCAUUGUGCCAUCUUCAAUAGUAACUUUGUAACCUUUAGCUUCCAAAGCACCCACAUAAAUUAGAUUUUUCUUUAUCUCUGUAACAAAUCUAAUCUCUUUGAGUUCUUUGACCAUUCCAUCAAACAUUUUGAGCCAAAUUGUUCCUAUCCCCAUUGUGCGACAAUGUUGAUUAUUCCACAUCAUAACUACACCGGAUUCCAGAUUACGAAAAUCCGUAAACCAUUCCUUAAUAGGACACAAAUGAUAGGUUGCUCCAAUAUCAAGUAUCCACUCACUCGAACUAGCCACAUAUGCUGCAUGAGUAAUACUUAGUGAAUAAUCAGAGUUCUCAUUUUUCCGUGCCAUGUUUGCUGCUGCUGGUUUCUUCCCAUCUCUUUUUUGAGCCUUUGGACAAUCUUUUCUCCAAUGGCCCUUUUCAUGACAAAAGGCACACUCAUCUCGAGCUAUAUUUCUGCUUCUCGAUUUGGAUCGAGAAUUCUUUCCACCACGCUUCUUCUGUUUCUCCAUCGCCCAAUCUCUGCUCACCAAAGCUUCAGACGAUACUCGUUCAGAAUUUUUAUCAUUAUUCCGAAUCUCCGUAGUCACAAAAUGGCUAUAUUCCUCUGGUAGUGAGUGUAACAGAAUCAUAGCCUUGACUUCAUCUUUAAUAUCUUCAUCAAGAUUCUUCAAAUCAGCAAGUAACUUUUCAAAUCUUGAAACAUGAUCGUGCAUUGACACCCCAGACUUCAUUCGAAAGCCAUAUACUUGGCUCAUUGCAUGAAGACGAUUUUCAGGACUUUUCACCAGGUACUUCUCUUCCAAUGUACGCCACAAAGUCACUGCACACUCCUCAUCUUUCACCAAGUAUUUCACCUCCUUGGUCAAACAAGAUCUGAUCUGACCACAGGCUUUCUCGUUCAUACGAUCCCAAAUUUCUUCAUCAUACAAGUGUCUUUUAUUUUUCAGGACAACAUCGAGAUCGAUUUGAAUAAGGGCAUCCAUAACUUCGCGCCUCCACAUGUUGAAGUUGAUUUUCCCAUCAAACUUUUCAACAUCGAUCUUCUGGCCUCCUAUAACAUGUGCUGAAUAGCGAUUUGACAAACCUCGCCUCCCACCUGAAGUGUCUCCUGAAAUAGUCUCGGUAGAUCUCUCCCCAAUUCUGGAAGUUUCACCUUCUACCAUUUUUUCAACGAACUAUUUCCAUUUGAAAAACAGCCUCUAUCAUGUUAAUUUCGCGUGAUACACACUACUUACAAUAGACUGUCUCCCAAGUACAAAUGGCCGUCUCCACCGUAUUCGUGAACAGUACCGUAUGUGAACAGUACCGUAUACGGGAAUAGUACCGUAUACGUGAACAGUACUGUAUCCCCCCAAGUACGAACCGUCGGCUCUGAUACCACUUGUUGUGCGCGGAAUGAGGAAUCAAGCGCACCAAAAAAUUACUGAAAAACUGCUGUACGGCCAAGGAAUUACUGAAAAAUAAAGGACACAAGAAUUUACGUGGUUCGGUAAUUAAACCUACAUCCACGGAGGCAAGAAAGAAUAAUUGUUUAUUUAACAAUUAAUAGAAUACAAUAUUUGAGUAAUGAAUCUCACUUUCCAGAAACCCAUAUAUACCCAGUACUCUCACACUCUGCAGGAAAGAUAAAUUCCCCAGACACACUUCUCUCACUUCUCUCAAAAGCUUAGAAACUUAUAAGCUUAACAAUUUUGGGAUGAUUUCAAAUGAAUGAAAUCCUAAGCUAUUUAUAGGAAAAAUGUUGGCACUAUGCAAAGAAUAAAAUAAUUAAAAAUAUAAUAAAUUAUUAUUAUUAUUUUCAAUACAUCCCCUUUUUCCAUUCUUUCUUUUCGGCUAACAAAAACCAAAUUGGAUUUUGCUUCUCCAAAGCCUUCAUGCUAACAGUUGCAAAGUUGGCAUUUGCUUCUGACUUUUCAACA
rnacentral:lncRNA from 1 species